ACCGCCCUCAACCUUUUGGCUAAGAUCAAGUGUAGUAUCUGUUCUUAUCAGUUUAAUAAAAAUAAAUAAAUAAAAUCAGCGCCGCAAUUUCAAAAUCAGUUCAAGACAUGGAUGUAUCUUUGGCAUCAGCACUCUGACACAUAUUUGUGAAAAUGGAAGAAGAUGCUUUAAGAUUGAAUCUCC